rnacentral:tRNA from 1 species
UAUCUAAUAGUUUUAAAACAUUAAAUUGCAAAUUUAAAAUCAUAAUUAAGAAAU